rnacentral:rRNA from 1 species
AACGAACGCUGGCGGCAUGCCUAACACAUGCAAGUCGAACGAAGGCUUCGGCCUUAGUGGCGCACGGGUGCGUAACGCGUGGGAACCUGCCCCUCGGUUCGGAAUAACAGUUAGAAAUGACUGCUAAUACCGGAUGAUGACUUCGGUCCAAAGAUUUAUCGCCGAGGGAUGGGCCCGCGUAGGAUUAGCUAGUUGGUGGGGUAAAGGCCUACCAAGGCGACGAUCCUUAGCUGGUCUGAGAGGAUGAUCAGCCACACUGGGACUGAGACACGGCCCAGACUCCUACGGGAGGCAGCAGUGGGGAAUAUUGGACAAUGGGCGAAAGCCUGAUCCAGCAAUGCCGCGUGAGUGAUGAAGGCCUUAGGGUUGUAAAGCUCUUUUACCAGGGAUGAUAAUGACAGUACCUGGAGAAUAAGCUCCGGCUAACUCCGUGCCAGCAGCCGCGGUAAUG